AAACCACGUUUCAGUUGAAAUUCACUAAAAAAAAACUUUAAAAUGUUAGCAAAAUCAUUUUUUAUGUGCCUUUUUAUAUUAGGCGCAAUCUUGACACAGAGAUAUCCAGGUGUUCACUCUACAUUCUUUGGAUUUAAUCCCUUUUUUGAUGUGUACGCCAGGGCCGGCCUGAAUGGAUAUCAUCGUGGUUUUAAUUAUAUUACUCCAGGUUACCUUUGCGGUAAUUUUCCACUUACCAGGCUAUUUUGUAAAUAAAUAGCAUUUACACAUCAACGUAUGUAUUCAUCAAACUCGAGGAACCUUUCUUAUAAAAAGAUAACAAUGAUGAGCAAGACAUUUGGACUACUUCACCCGGUAUUGAAAAAUCGCAAAAUUGACCUCAUAGUUUUCCAGCACAAAUAAAAACUAUAUCCAUUUUCUCUAGGGGUUUCUAUCCUAGUAUAAACUAAAUGUUCAAACCUGAUUUCAAAAAAAAUACUGUUUUUCUCAGACUUAAUAAAGAUUAAAG